rnacentral:rRNA from 1 species
UACCAGCACCCCGAGUGGUCAGGACGUUUAUUGGGCCUAAAGCAUCCGUAGCCGGUUCUACAAGUCUUCCGUUAAAUCCACCUGCUUAACAGAUGGGCUGCGGAAGAUACUAUGGAGCUAGGAGGCGGGAGAGGCAAGCGGUACUCGAUGGGUAGGGGUAAAAUCCGUCGAUCCAUUGAAGACCACCAGUGGCGAAGGCGGCUUGCCAGAACGCGCUCGACGGUGAGGGAUGAAAGCUGGGGGAGCAAACCGG